rnacentral:rRNA from 1 species
ACCGGCAGAUAGCUCUCUCUGCAACUAUCACAUGGUCGCCCACUUUAGCUAAGCAGGGCCCGGUCAGUACCUGGAUGGGAGACCACAUGGGAAAGCUAGGUUGCUGCCGGAA